rnacentral:ncRNA from 1 species
GUGCGGUCAAUAAAAUCCAAUGGAUUUUGAACAUUGUCAUUGCCAACGGCGGUGAAGCCGUAAGUAAUCGCAUCAGCGAUCAGGCAUAAUUUUUCAUUCG